GGAGAGAUAAGGUCAGGUAGGUGCCACCUGUGUGCUCAUCACUGGGCCUGGAGAGGCAGGGCUGAGUGGGAUGAUGAUUGGACACCAGGCCCAGAGGAAAAUGAUGGCAGAGCAUCCCCCUUCCUCCGCAGUGGGGUCAUUUGAACAGGGAAGAUGCAGAUUCCUGUGAGAAAGAAAGCAGGAGAGGCAGAGACCAGCCAGAGGCUGGUGUCGGCACUGCCCACCGCUUCCAGGUUGCAGAUGACAGAGAAUUUCGCAAACUGCAGGACUACCGAUUUCCAUCAGGAAUCGCUCAUCAGAGGGUGUUGUUUAUGGAGUUUGUUUCACUUCUGCGUGUAUGUGCUGGUCGGGCUGUACUUGGCUAAAAAAGGGUUGGAAAGCCACCGUGUAGGGGAAGGAGAGACUCAAAGCUGGUGUGCCCAUGAGAUGCUGUGCUAACAGUGUGGGUGAAGCCAGUGAGUCGCCUUGAUGAGAUCUGAGAAGAUUUCCCCUUCCUUCUGUCUCCAAUGGAUAAGCCACUGCAAACUCAGAAACAGGCAGACGGCUUCUGCAUCUGCCCUGGCCGGUGCUCAGGUCAGCUGUUGUAUAACAUGAGCAGGAGGACGCUCUCCCAGCCCACACGGUGGGACAAUCUGUUCUCAGAGACAAGAGUCAAGUAAAUGUGAGUCUCGG
rnacentral:lncRNA from 1 species